AUUGAGCAAGGACUCCCUGCCACAGUCAAAUCCUUCUGAAAUGCUCCACAAAGAAAGACUGCAAAGGGCAGGGAUCAUUUUCACAACUAAAGGUCGCACUCUGGAGACAGAGAAGGAGCUUCUGCUUCCGAACUAAAAGGAGGCCAACAGUCCAAAGAACAAGUUGGACAAGUCCAGUUGAGACAAGUUAAAAUGAAGUACCUGAAUCGUAUCUCGGAAUUGUUAAUGGCAUUGAAGUUGUACACCUCUUGCAUGCGCUUUACGUGCCCCAGUGGAAGAGGAGCCUGAGAGCAAAACAAAGAAGUGUCAAGUAUCCUUUCAACAGGAUUCCUUGGCAGAAAGAAAGGAGCUGGAGAGUCUUAGCCAGAUGAACACACUAAGGACUUUAUAACAUAGAAGUCAGUCAGAUAAAAAUAAAGAUAGUUCUGUGCAAACUCAUUCUGGAUAAAGACGUUCUACUAGAAACACAGGGAAUUUACUCUGUGAGGUACCUAAAAGAGUUAAGUGAAAAUGAUUCUUAGACUUUUUAGUAAAAAAUGUUACCUCCUAGACCCGUUCCGGAGUCUCCUCUCAUACGUAAAUUCAUUCCCUCCUCCAGAUUAAAUUACAGUCCCUCGAGUUUUGCCUCCCCAACGGCUCCCAGCUUAUCUUUGUGUAUUUCCUCUGAGCUCACUUUCAAAUUAUCGGUUUCCUUCCAAAAUGGUAGCAUCUAACUUUUGGUAUCAGGGAUGGUGAAGCUUUUAGAGAUGAGUCCCCACACUGCAACCCCAAACUCACCCACCUAUUUAUCAUAAAGUGCCAACGCUGUAAUUAAAACUGAAUACUGAAAUUUUGGUUUAGAAAAAAAUAAAAACAAUUCAUACAUUCA